rnacentral:misc_RNA from 1 species
AAAGCUCUUUGUUUUUUGAAAGGGUGCUUUUAUGAGAUAGAGCUUUUUUAGAUAAUGCUUUUUUAGAUAAUGCUGGGGAAGGUUUUCCGGUUUAUCUCGGAGGGCUUGUAGCUCAGUUGGUUAGAGCGCGCGCUUGAUAAGCGUGAGGUCGGAGGUUCAAGUCCUCCCAGGCCCACCAAUUUACCUAUCCAUUUGCCUUUAUCCGUUUAUUUGCCGAUUUAUCGGUCCAUUGAAUUUAAGUGUUGGUAGCAGUUUUAUAAUGAUGAGAAAUCAUGCUUAUAAAAGAAUUCCUUAUAAAAGGCUUGUUUUUAAAAUGUGACGCUUAUCCAUUUCGCUUAGGCAAAAGAAACUUCAAGCGGUCAAAUGCAAAAGGCUUUAAAUUUUGCAAAACACUUUGAAUUUUAAAGUGAUCCAAGUUCUUGAUCUCAAAUUUAAAAGUUUCAAAUGCUUUAUCCUUUUUUGGGGGCCGUAUCUCAGCUGGGAAAGCACCUGCUUUGCAAGCAGGGGGACUCGGUUCGGGAGAGCACCUGCUUUGCAAGCAGGGGGU